CUAAAGGAUUUUGCAACUGUCCUUUGACUUGGCGAAUUUUCUUUUAACAUUAAAAAAAACUUACUUCUGCAACAUUUGAAACAUUCCUUUUUUCCCUUGGAUACGUACUUAGAUAAUCAUUACACGUGAAGCCAAAUUUUGACUUCCUCCUCUUUCUUGUUGUAAUUAUUACCUAUCGUAGCUUUAGAUGUUGAAAAACUAUGGCUUUCAUAGCGUUUUUCAAUAACUAGGUAGAAGUAAUUUUCUUUGGAAAGAGCACAGACAUAGCCUUGUUUCUUUAAAAGCGCCGUUUUGCAUGAAAACAGAACUGUCAAGUAGCAGACGAUUAUUUAUGCAUUCAAAAAUAUAGUUUCCAUUGAAAAAAAGAAUUUCAAAGCAGACGAUUUGUUUUAUAACGAAGCAAAUUCAUCUAAAAAUGUGCCAACAGUCUCUGUAUAAAUUAAACUCAUCAAGAAAGUAUUGCAAUAGAAACUUACCUAAUGUUGACGAAUAAUUGAACAUUAACAGAGGAAAAAAGAGACAGCAUCAAUACAGGAAUAAAAAACAAACAGUGGUAAAGUAAAAGAAAAUAUGAAGAAAGAAAAAUGCCAUAUUGAUUGUAAAGAAUGCGCAACAGAAUUUUUAUCGAUUCUGAAGAAAGGAGGUAAAAGAAAAUAUGAAGAAAGAAAAAUGCCACAUUGAUUGUAAAGAAUGCGCAACAGAAUUUUUAUCGAUUCUGAAGAAAGGAGGUGAAUUUAGGAUAUUACUACUUUCAGAAUCCGGUUAAGAUUAGUCUAGGACCCUACGUAAAACGUUCUUUCUGAAGCCUUAAUGCUUACUUUCUUUGCUUUUAUUGCACAAAAAUUGGCUUAUAAAAUGGCAUAUGAUGAUUUAAAAGUCCUGCUUUUUCUCUGGAGUCUUCGGUCCAGGGAAAUAGUGAAAAGGUUUUCACUAAAUUACACAUAACUUGAAAAUGGACAGGAAAGUUUUCUUCCUCCAAGUUUUAAGCUCUGUAUGAACUCAACAGAAAAGUGAUAGCAACAAGUAUCAAACUGCAGAUCUCUGUUAAGAGGAAAUGAACCCGAAACCUUUAAUAAAGCUUACUGUAUCUGAAGUGGAGAGGCAGAUUCUUCAUGGUAAUAUUACUCGAGAAAGACGACGGUUGAACUCAGAAGAAAAGACAAGUUUCCCUGGAAAACCUGCAUUCCUUCUCAAAGCUAUUUUACUCUGCUUGUGGCUGGAUAUAAAAACUGUGGUACAUUUUGGGUACCUGGAAGAUAUCUAAAUAGUAAUAUAAAAACAUUUUGUUAUCAGUGAGAUAAUUUUAGACGGUGUUUAACCAUAAACAGGCUUGUAUUUAUCAAUAGAUCUGAAGUAAUUCUUCAUCAAGAUAACUCUAAAUUAUACUGCAAAUGUAACUUAAGAAAAGCAAAUAAUCGAAAAUUUUUAUUCUUCCUUUAAGAGUCCAAUUAUUAUCGCUCCAGUUUUUACCUGUUCAAGUCCCUUCAGAAUUUUUUUAUAAUCAAAAACUGCCACAGUUGACAGGAGAUCGAAAGUGCAAUAAAAGAAUAUUUUGUGGAAAUGCCAAACGAUUUCUUCGAAAAAAGGAUUGGGAGGUAAUGCCUGAAGUAGGGCUGCAGUCACAGAAAACGUUGGAUAUUACAUUAAUAAUUAAACUUAAAGCAAUAAAUACUUUUUUCAUUUGAACUGCAUGUCCAAGCCCUGCCUUGCUUACGCAUCAAAACAAUAUUUUCAGCAUGUAUUUAUGCUCUUUGGACAUACAGGAAAAUAAAUAUUAAAUGUCUGGUGUGUGUGUAAAUGCAUAUGUAUUAGGUUCUAUUAAGGUAACGAAAUUAUGUUUUGGAGGAGAAAACGUAGAUGUUAAAAAUGAAAGCCGAUUCAUUAAAGGUGACAAGUACAAUCGUGAUAAGUUUAUAUUUCAUUUACUGUAGACAAAUAUUUUUUGAAUGCAAACAUAUAUAACUUGGGUGCAAAGCGCACCUGUUCUUGGUACUCUUAUAUUUUUAGGAUAUCUUAAAAAAGAAAAAAGAAAGUAAGAGCUACAGCAGAUAGCAAGUUUGUAAACUAGAGAUACGAAGAAUAAAUGCAAUUUUAAAGG